ACCUAACUCUGAGUACUACAAAUGCUAUCACACCCUUGCACUCUCAUGUCAUCCAUUUCUGUGUAGAUAAGUGGAAAGUGUGAAGCUCAGACUUCAUCCUAACUUAGGACCUGAUCCAAAUGUCAGAGCAGAAGAGCAGGAUUUCUCUUUCAGCAAAUGAAGACAGAUGUGCUCUGCCGUCAUUACUGAGCCAAGUAGAACUCCACCGAGGCAUGGAGAUCAGUCUGCUGUUGCAACUAUGCCCUCAGUCAAGAGCCGGUAUCAGGAUGCUGCUCUACUCAGAGUAUGGUCUGAAAAACACAUCACUGGGAAUGCAACUGCAGGGACAUGAAUGAAAGGAGCAGGUGGAGCUAAACCAGAACACACAUGCUCUAGGAACACAACCACAUCCAACUUCCUCAAGCUGCUGGUGGACUUUGGCUGCAUGGGACCUUGGAGUCCGAAAGGAAUCUGAAGUAAACUCUCCUGAUAUAUUUAUUGCAUGGCAAUUGAAUUCUUCACAGCUGCUGUUUUACUCAUUAGAUCUACUCCUACAGGGCUGCACUGCACAUAAAUACAGCUAUCGUAUGUAAUCAUCAAAACAAGACGAGCUCUGAACAUGAUAGAUACCAAAAGCAUUGAUGAUCCUUGCAGGAAAAUCAAAAUCAUUGUCUCUCUGGUCUUUUGACAAAUAUCAGACACAAAGCAAUGAAUCAUUUAUUUACUCUUUAGAGGAGUUUUAUUUUCAUUUUACUCAUGUAAAUCCAGUGCACUAAGCAUGAAGUCACUUAUAGAUAGGAUAUUGUGCUAAUUUGAGCUCAUGUUAGCCAAAGAAGCAUGCAUGUUAUUCUAUUUGUAGAAUGUGCUGACCUUGAGGAAAUUUAUUUUAACCCUGGUGAAUUUGUUGGUUUAAGGAUAAUUCAUGGGUACCAGAAGGUUCACAGAUAAAAACAUUGCUUUGACCUUCAAAGUGCUCAACUCUAACAUGUUAUUAUGCAAGUUGGGAACUUUUCAGUCCCUUCAAAACACAUAAUCUAAAAGCAUCCUCUUUGCUUGUCACUCUGUAUUAUUCCUAUCUGAGCAUCUUUAUUAUCUCCUCAUUUUCCAUAGCAUCAUAACGCAAAUUUCUUAUGCCCACCUUCAGUGCCAUUCACAACUAUAACCUUUCUGUUUAAUCAAUUUUUUUUGCUUUUUCCUUGAACUCUGUAGUUGCCUACCUUAGAGUGAGUGAAUAUUCAGUAGUAUUAAAACAGUCACUAUGCUUCUGUAAAUAAUAAUCUCCUCUUCUCUUACUUGGUAAUAGUUCCUGAGGAAAGCAUACCACAUUACAUCCUGCAAGGAUGCGCCACUAAUCCUACUUAGGUGAACUGCAAUCUGACAGUGAUUAUUUAAGGAAAAUAAACUGAUUCAAAUUGUAUAGCUAUCACACAGAACUAUUCAGAUUCAUAUCUUUUCAUAUCUGCAGUUUGCAAUAAUCGCUUACAGUCUUUCUGUUUUACAUUACAUUCUGUGUUCCUUGGGACUGAGAUUCUGUGUUUAUUACAGAGCUCAUCAAACAGUAUAGAAGGCAUCUAUGGGCACUCCUAUCAAUGCAACUGUAAACCGUAUAUUAACACUGAAUGAAUUCCAAUCUUUGAUUUGUUUAAAUAGGUUUAUCAUACCAUAUUGUUUACUCACUCUUUCUAAAUAGAACAUGUAAACAUUUAUCUCUGACUCUAAUGCUUAUAAAACAUUAUAUUUGUUUACAUUCAAUGCUCUUCCUUCCUGAAAAAGUGUAAUGCGUUUUUAGGAAGCCUAGCUCCUGACAAACAACACUGGCACAGAUAGUGGUCAGUUAAUGACACUAGCAAGGCAGGAUUUGGAUGAUUUAAAAGAGAAUAAGGAUGUUCAAGAAAAAAAAAAAGCAUAUAGCUGUAGAAAAUUGGAUGUGCCUUAUAGUAGGUGGAGGAAGUCUUGAAAUAGCAUCUGUUUAUUUGUUUUUCAAAACAUAUUCAAAAAAUGUA